rnacentral:misc_RNA from 1 species
GAUGAAGAACGUAGUGAAAUGCGAUACAUAAUGUGAAUUGCAAAUUCAGUGAAUCAUCGAGUCUUUGAACGCACAUUGCGCCCCCUGGUAUUCCGGGGGGCAUGCCUGUCCGAGCGUCAUUGCUGCCCUCAAGCACGGCUUGUGUGUUGGGCCCCGUCCUCCGAUCCCGGGGGACGGGCCCGAAAGGCAGCGGCGGCACCGCGUCCGGUCCUCGAGCGUAUGGGGCUUUGUCACCCGCUCUGUAGGCCCGGCCGGCGCUUGCCGAUCAACCCAAAUUUUUAUCCAGGUUGACCUCGGAUCAGGUAGGGAUACCCGCUGAACUUAAGCAUAUCAAUAAGCGGAGGA